UGUGUAUUCAGCCUCACUAACCUUUUAUUCUGCAAGACUACUCUGCUCUUAGCUCUACCUUGUGCAUUUGUUUAGCCUCCGACAUUCGGCUGGAGAUUGUAGCAUUCCCUCUGCGAGCCCCGCUGUGACGUCCACACCACCUCCAGACAGUGCUGCAUGCCCCCUCCCCGAGAGCAAUGGGCACGGAGUACUAGUGACCUGGAACAGGCUGGAAUAAGGCUACUCGAGCAGAGGCGCCAACCUGCCCUCCGCCCUGAGGAAGAGAGGGACACAGCUGCCUGUGAGGGAGCAGACAGAGCGCGGCGCGGCGAGGCUGGAGGAAAGGCGCCCUUCGGGGACGUGCAGCUGCGCUGGCCUGCUGACCGUGCAGGGGACUUUGCUCUGGUGCCCUCCCCACAGCUCCUUGAUUCUGAGAUUUUGGUUUUCUUUCUUUCUUACAAUAUUGUCAUAAAGUCUUAACUAUUUAUAUCCUGUUUUUGUUUUUUUGUUUUGUUUUGUUUUCUGGCAUGGGGAUUGGACCCAGGGCCUUUACAUGGAGCUGCAUCUGCAGCCCAUUUCAUUUUUUAAGAUGAAGGCUUGCUGAAUUAGCCAGUCUGGGCUUGAACUUGCAGUCCUCCUGCCUCAGCCUCCCACAGUGCCGGGGUCACAGGCCUGUGCCACCGUGCCUGGCUCAGGUUUUGAUGAUACAACAAACAAGCAGUGUGGUGAGCUCUUGCUCCUAAACCUCCCAGGACUUGGCCGAAGUGGUGCUCAGCUCUGGGCCUGCCCCUUGGGUCCGUCUGUUGGCCCUGGGCCCAUGGGAGGCUGGCUCUGACUCCCCGGGCAGCGCACCGUCGAGGGCAGACUGGAUUCUCGCACUGCACUGUGGGUAGAACAUCCCCGCUCUCACUUGGAGUUGAAGAGGCCGAAGCUGUGUCUGAGCCUUGGAACGGACCAGCUGGCUCCUGCACUUCACAGUCUUGGCUCCUUGCUGUGGCCGGGUGGCCCA
rnacentral:lncRNA from 1 species